rnacentral:rRNA from 1 species
CCCUUAGAUGUUCUGGGCCGCACGCGCGCUACACUGAUGCGUUCAACGAGUUUACAACCUUGAUCGAAAGGUCUGGGUAAUCUUUUGAAUGCGCAUCGUGCUAGGGAUAGAUUAUUGCAAUUAUUAAUCUUGAACGAGGAAUUCCUAGUAAACGCAAGUCAUCAGCUUGCAUUGAUUACGUCCCUGCCCUUUGUACACACCGCCCGUCGCACCUACCGAUUGAAUGGUCCGGUGAAAUCUUGGGAGUCCCAGUGAUGUCUGCUUGCGGACUCGCAGGGGUGAACUUGAUUAAACCUUACCAUUUAGAGGAAGGUGAAGUCGUAACA